GAGAAGGAGAAACUAUGCGUUGAGGUGUGUUAACACAUUGAGGUACUGAGGCAUUGUAGGUUCUUCUACAUGUUGCUGUUUGACCCAUUAGGUCCUCCUGGAGAAGCUCUGGUCCUCACAUCGAGCACUGCUUCCUGGCUCUGGAGAGGAAGAUGUGUGCUACUUGGCCUCCAGGAUGAACUUGUCAUGCUGGCUUCCUGGCAUGUACUCGACUGUGCUUGUCAGAGGAGGAGCUCGGGGCCUCCAUAUCGCUGAGGAUGGCUGUGGUGCUUUUCAGGACAGCCCUGGUCUUUGUUCCUUUCUCUACCAAAAUGAGGGACUACUGCAAGGAAAAGGAAGACACAGGAUUAAGAAUAUGGGAUUGAACACAGAUGAGAAGCAGAAGAAUUACAAGGCUGGAGGUGGAUGGUGGCUCUAAGAUGACUUUUGUGCAGCUGUGAGGGUCCCUGGAAGAGGGUCAAUGUGGGAAACGGAGCUGAUGGACCACUUGACUUUUUAAAGAGGUUUCUGGAAGAUUUGGAAAUUAAUAAUAGGCCUACAAACAACUAAGCAAGUAGAAAAACAAUACAAUUAUUAAUUCAAAGAAAAUAAAAUUUGUACAAGUAGAAAAA